AUUGAACGCUCGCGGGAUGCUUUACACAUGCAAGUCGAACGGCAGCGCGGACUUCGGUCUGGCGGCGAGUGGCGAACGGGUGAGUAAUGUAUCGGAACGUGCCCAGUAGCGGGGGAUAACUACGCGAAAGCGUAGCUAAUGCCGCAUACGCCCUACGGGGGAAAGCAGGGGAUCGUAAGACCUUGCACUAUUGGAGCGGCCGAUAUCGGAUUAGCUAGUUGGUGAGGUAACGGCUCACCAAGGCGACGAUCCGUAGCUGGUUUGAGAGGACGACCAGCCACACUGGGACUGAGACACGGCCCAGACUCCUACGGGAGGCAGCAGUGGGGAAUUUUGGACAAUGGGGGCAACCCUGAUCCAGCCAUCCCGCGUGUGCGAUGAAGGCCUUCGGGUUGUAAAGCACUUUUGGCAGGAAAGAAACGUCGCGGGCUAAUACCCCGUGGAACUGACGGUACCUGCAGAAUAAGCACCGGCUAACUACGUG
rnacentral:rRNA from 1 species